GAGUUUUGAUCAUGGCUCAGGAUGAACGCUAGCUACAGGCUUAACACAUGCAAGUCGAGGGGAAACGAUAUUGGAAGCUUGCUUCCGAUAGGCGUCGACCGGCGCACGGGUGAGUAACGCGUAUCCAACCUGCCCACCACUUGGGGGAUAACCUUGCGAAAGUAAGACUAAUACCCAAUGAUAUCUCUAGAAGACAUCUGAAAGAGAUUAAAGAUUUUAUCGGUGAUGGAUGGGGAUGCGUCUGAUUAGCUUGUUGGCGGGGUAACGGCCCACCAAGGCAACGAUCAGUAGGGGUUCUGAGAGGAAGGUCCCCCACAUUGGAACUGAGACACGGUCCAAACUCCUACGGGAGGCAGCA
rnacentral:rRNA from 1 species